UCGAGGAUCUUCGGCAAUGGGCGCAAGCCUGACCGAGCGACGCCGCGUGUGCGAUGAAGGCCUUCGGGUUGUAAAGCACUGUCGAGGGGGAGGAAAACCCGCAAGGGUCUGACCUAUCCCUGGAGGAAGCACGGGCUAAGUUCGUGCCAGCAGCCGCGGUAAGACGAACCGUGCAAACGUUAUUCGGAUUCACUGGGCUUAAAGGGCGCGUAGGCGGGCGGCACAGUCAGAGGUGAAAUCUCACGGCCCAACCGUGAAACGGCCUUUGAUACUGGCGGUCUCGAGGGAGGUAGGGGCAUGCGGAACUUCCGGUGGAGCGGUGAAAUGCGUAGAUAUCGGAAGGAACGCCGGUGGCGAAAGCGGCAUGCUGGGCCUUCUCUGACGCUGAGGCGCGAAAGCCAGGGGAGCGAACGGGAUUAGAUACCCCCGUAGUCC
rnacentral:rRNA from 1 species